GAUGAACGCUGGCAGAAUGCUUAACACAUGCAAGUCGAUCGCGAAGCUGUGCAUCCUCAUUCUAUCCUAUUCGGGCGGGAGGGGAACGUGUCAGGUACUUGCCCUACCGUCAGGGCUAACAUACCUACACGACUGAUAAGACCAUACAAAGUCAUGUGUUCACCUGCACGGCCCGAAGAAAAGAGAUGCUGCAGGUGAGCCUUGCGUCCGAUUCGCCUGUUGGUGGGGUAACGGCCCACCAAGGCGAUGAUAGGGAGCCGGCCUGAGAGGGGGGACGGCCACACGGGGACUGGGAUACGGCCCAUACACCUACGGGAGGCAGCAGUGGGGAAUAUUGGACAAUGGGGGCUACCUUGAGCCAGCCAUCCUGUGUGAACGAUGAAGGUUUUCGGAUUGUAAAGUGCUUAAGGCAGGGAAGAAAAAAUGACGGUACCUGCAGAAGAAGCGACGGCUAACUACGUG
rnacentral:rRNA from 1 species